UGGCUCAGUGGUAGAGCACUUGCCUUGCAUGCACGAGACCCUGGGUUCGAUUCCUCAG
rnacentral:tRNA from 1 species